rnacentral:rRNA from 1 species
CAAGGUUUCUGUAGGUGAACCUGCGGAAGGAUCAUUA